ACCAACCCUAGCCCUGACACCCAUUUAUCUAACAACACUCUUCCAUAAACUAAAACAUUUAUCAUUAAAGUAUUGGAGAAAGAAAUUUACAUUAGGAGCUAUAGAAAUAGUACCGUAAGGGAAAGAUGAAAGAUAAACUUAAAAGUAAAAAUCAGCAAAGAUAAAAUCUUGUACCUUUUGCAUAAUGAGUUAACUAGAAAAACUCUAACUAAAAGAAUUUAAGCUAGAAACCCCGAAACCAAACGAGCUACCUAAAAACAAUUUUAUGAAUCAACCCGUCUAUGUAGCAAAAUAGUGGGAAGAUUUUUAGGUAGAGGUGAAAAGCCUAACGAGCUUGGUGAUAGCUGGUUACCCAAAAAAUGAAUUUCAGUUCAACUUUAAACUUACUUUAAGAACUAAUAAUCUAAACGUAAGCUUAAAUUAUAGCCAAAAGAGGGACAGCUCUUUAGGAAUGGAAAAAACCUUCAAUAGUGAAUAAAUAAAAAUUUUUCUUAACCAUUGUAGGCCUAAAAGCAGCCAUCAAUAAAGAAAGCGUUCAAGCUCAACAUAAUAAUUAAACUAAUCCUAAAAUUUUAUCUUAUUUCCUAAAUUUUAAAUUGGGUUAUUAUAUAGUAUUAUAUAAGAAACACUGUUAAUAUGAGUAACAAGAAUAUAUUCUCCAAGCACAAGCGUAUAACAACCCGGAUAACCAUUGUUAGUUAUUAACAAAUCAUAGAUAAUAGUUACAAAAUAAACCUAUCUAAGAACUAAUCUGUUAACCCAACACAGGAGUGCUCAAUGGAAAGAUUAAUCGAAAUAAAAGGAACUCGGCAAACUAUAACCCCGCCUGUUUACCAAAAACAUCACCUCUAGCAUUAAAAGUAUUAGAGGCAUUGCCUGCCCAGUGACUAAAGUUUAACGGCCGCGGUAUCCUGACCGUGCAAAGGUAGCAUAAUCACUUGUUCCUUAAUUAGGGACUAGAAUGAAUGGCUGAACGAGGGUUUAACUGUCUCUUAUUUCUAAUCAGUGAAAUUGACCUUCCAGUGAAGAGGCUGGAAUAAUUAAAUAAGACGAGAAGACCCUAUGGAGCUUAAAUUUAUAAACUUAUUUAUGAGUAACAAAAACCUACAUGGAAUAAAAAUAAUAUUAUAAGCUUAAAAUUUUGGUUGGGGUGACCUCGGAGAACAGAAAAUCCUCCGAAAGAUUUAUAACCUAGACCUACAAGUCAAAGUAAUACAAAUUCUAAUUUGACCCAAAGUAAUUUGAUCAACGGACCAAGUUACCCUAGGGAUAACAGCGCUAUCCUAUUUAAGAGUCCAUAUCGACAAUAGGGUUUACGACCUCGAUGUUGGAUCAGGACAUCCCAAUGGUGCAGAAGCUAUUAAUGGUUCGUUUGUUCAACGAUUAAAGUCCUACGUGAUCUGAGUUCAGACCGGAGAAAUCCAGGUCGGUUUCUAUCUAUUAACAAUUUCUCCCAGUACGAAAGGAUAAGAGAAAUAGAGCCACCUUAACAACAGUGCUCUCAACUAAACUUAUGAAAAAAAUCUAAAUAAAAUAUUUAUGUAAAAAUUUUACCUAGACCAGGUC
rnacentral:rRNA from 1 species